rnacentral:lncRNA from 1 species
UUAUCUAAGCAUUUAUUGUGCCAAAAUUGUCAACAAUAAAUCAAAGUCUUUAACAAACCAAAACCAUUUGUAGAACACAAACUUCAACCAAGUAAGAAGAUGAACAUUGAAGAACAAAAUGAAAGAUCAAAGACAAUACUAAACAUUCAUCAAAGUUUCACCCUUAGCUCUAGCUAAAUGUUUAGAAAUACAUAGUGAAAUGUUACAAAGAAAAUGAAGGAAACUAGAAUAUGGUGGAGAGAAUUGAUGCUUCAAAAUCGUGGCCAAGGUCCCCUUUUAUAGGCAAAGGAACAUCCAAAAUUCAAGUAGGCAAUGCAACUUGUUUCUGUCCAGCUUCAAGACAGCNN